AUUGAACGCUGGCGGCAGGCCUAACACAUGCAAGUCGAACGAGUGGCGGACGGGUGAGUAAUGUAUGGGAAACUGACUGAUGGAGGGGGAUAACUACUGGAAACGGUAGCUAAUACCGCAUACCAUCAGAUGUGCCCAGAUGGGAUUAGCUUGUUGGUGGGGUAACGGCUCACCAAGGCGACGAUCCCUAGCUGGUCUGAGAGGAGGACCAGCCACACUGGAACUGAGACACGGUCCAGACUCCUACGGGAGGAAGCAGUGGGGAAUAUUGAACAAUGGGCGAAAGCCUGAUGCAGCCAUGCCGGGUGUGUGAUGAAGGCCUUCGGGUUGUAAAGUACUUUAAGCGGGGAGGCGUUACCCGCAGAAGAAGCACCGGCUAACUCCGUGCCAGCAGCCGCGGUAAUUC
rnacentral:rRNA from 1 species